rnacentral:rRNA from 1 species
AUUGAACGCUGGCGGCAUGCUUUACACAUGCAAGUCGAACGGUAACAGGCCUUCUGGUGCUGACGAGUGGCGCACGGGUGAGUAAUGCAUCGGAACGUACCCAGAGGUGGGGGAUAACGCAGCGAAAGCUGUGCUAAUACCGCAGGUGAUCUGAGUAUGAAAGCGGGGGACCGAGCAGCAAUGUUUGGCCUCGCGCCUUUGGAGCGGCCGAUGUCGGAUUAGCUAGUUGGUGGGGUAAAGGCCUACCAAGGCGACGAUCCGUAGCUGGUCUGAGAGGACGACCAGCCACACUGGGACUGAGACACGGCCCAGACUCCUACGGGAGGCAGCAGUGGGGAAUUUUGGACAAUGGGCGCAAGCCUGAUCCAGCAAUGCCGCGUGCGGGAAGAAGGCCUUCGGGUUGUAAACCGCUUUUGGCAGGAACGAAACGGUGUCCGCUAAUACCGGGCGCUAAUGACGGUACCUGCAGAAUAAGCACCGGCUAACUACGUG